CUUUACUCUUCGCUCUCCUCACCUUAAGCAGAAGGAAGGAGACACAUUUGUUGCUGUGAGCUGUUUUGCCUCAGGUUGAGGGAGGACUGGCGCAAGCAUUCCCUUAGCUACUCCAGCUGGUGUCUCUCUAGGUCACAUGCCACCCCAGUCCUCUGGCUCUAAGCCCAGCCCAGCACUAGGAGUUGCCUAGGAAUUGCAGUCCCUGUGUCCUAGACUGUCUUUCAAGUUUACCUAGAGCCCCAGAACCCUCUGGCCUGCUGUGGUGAGGCUUGCCAAGAAAUUUGAGUUCUGACUUAUGGAAUGUGUGAUUCCCCUCUGACUAGGUCUGCUCCAAAUGCACCUUCCAUGUGCAGUCAGUGGCUGAACCUAGCAUGGCUUUGCUUUCUGCUAUGACAGGUCAGCACUGAGUUCAGGGUAAAGUACGCCAGUCACUGCACUCUCUCUCUCUCCGAAGUGCAUAGACUCUGUGCUACACGGCCACUGCCAGGGCUGGAGGAGGAAUGAUGUCGGCAACUCAAGGCUGUCUCUUCAACCCUUUUCAAUGCCUCUGUCAACAACAUGAAGUUAAAACCAGAUAAACUAGAAGAUUUGGUGCCCAGCAUGAAGAAUAGUUCCUUUCAAGUACCUGUAUGUCCUGAAUGUAUUCCUUCCAGUGGGUUCUUGGUCUCGCUGACUUCAAGAAUGAAGCCUUGGACCCUCGUGAUAUGUGCUCACCCUUCUCUGCUCAGCUCUGUGCCUGGGAGGCUGACCUCUACAAACUGCAUCACCAGGCUUCCGCCCUCUGGCUUCCAGAUGGAUUUGGCCAAUGGGCAGCACCAGUGGGAAAGGAGAGGACAGGAGGAGAGACAGGCUGAGGUCAUGUAUUUAUCCCCCUCUUCCCUACCCCAUGACAGUUCUGACAGGCAGCCCCUCCGUUUCUCCAGCUCUCAGCUGAGCUCCAGUAACAAGCUUCCUUCUCUUUCCCCUUUAGGGUUGGGGUGGCAAGAGCCACCACCUGGGUGUCUCACUAUAUCUUGUUGGCUUCCCUAAUCCUGCCUACAUUAAUCAUUUUUUUUAAAUUUCAAACUCUCUUGAUGCUUCCAUUUGUUUCCCGAGGAAUCCUGGCUAAUGGAGCAAGCUUGGACACAUUCCUUCAUUUCACAGGUCCUCAGUUUAUUUAGCUGUAAAAUGAAGGGCCUGAGCAGCCUUUCCCAAAGUGGAUUCUGCACAUCAGUCUCACCAUAUUCCAUUUUGUAUUCUGUGGUCAAAUAUGUUUGGGGAACACUGAAUAUAAUGUCCCCUUUUGGAGAGCCACAAUUUGUGGCACCGUGUCAACAACUCUGAGAGGUCCUGAAGUAGAUACACCUGUUUUACCCUGUUUAGUUCAGCAUUUCCCAAAUAUAGUUAACAAUGGAACCACUGUUUUUUGCUUGUUUGCUUUUGCAGAAAACCCUAAUAACAUAGAGAAAACACCAGAUCAAGUUGGGCCAUGUAUGGCAUUGUCUUAUUCUGUGGAAAGGUAUUCAUUGCAUAUUUUUGAAUAUUUUCUGUUGGCCCCUCAAUCCUGAAGUCUAAAAUUUCCCACCCAUGUGGCUCAGCUUGCUCUAGGCACAAUAAUGGAAUUCUAUUUCUGUGACCUCAAUACAAUGUUGAGCUUCUCUUCUGACCAUGACUUUGUCGUGGUAAAGAAGUAUCCCUCUAAUUAAGAUCAGGAUUGAAAAUAGAAUUCCAGGAAUAGUUGAAUACACAAUACACAUUUACAUACAGCACAAUUGCAUCCAAGCCCCGUGGAGUGUGGUGGUGCAAAGUAAGGUGUGAAUCCCACUGAAACUUUCUGAAAGUGUGUGGUUGUCAUGAACAACACUGACAAAUCUGAGGCCCUCCUUGCUUCCUGUUACAAUAAGUAACUACCUUUUCUUCUUUUUCUUUUGGAGACAGAUUGGAGUGCAGUGGCAUGAUCUCAGCUCACCGUAGCCUUGACCUCCCAGGCUCAAGAGAUCCUCUCACCUCAGCCUCCUGAGUAGCUGGGACUACAGGCACAUACCAAAUGCCCAGAAAAUUUUUUUCUUGUGAGGGCUGGCCUCCCUCCUCCUGUGUCCCUGACAUACAGUGACAGUGCUGCCCUGCAGCUCAGGAUGGAUGCAGUCAAGGACGACAGCGCAUGUCCAAAAAAGCUGUCUGCUGAACAUUUGCCCAGCAGAUUUUAGAAAGAAAGGAAACAUCUUAGUGAUUUUCUUGCCUCCAGAAGAUUCCCUGAUCCAAUCUUUCCUUGGCACAAACUUUUAGUUAUUGUGUUUACAUAUACAUUUUAUAUAUGUGUGGUCAUUAUUGUAUCUGUUUUAUUUGGGGACUUUAUCUUGAUGUGUGUUAUACCUAAUACACUGCAAUAUAAAUUAUGUAAUUAUGUGCUUUUUUUUUUUGAGAUGGAGUCUCGUUCUGUCACCCAUGCUGGAGUGCAGUGGUGUGAUCUCGGCUCACUGCAACCUCCACCUUCUGGGUUCAAGUGAUUCUGCUGCUUCUGCGUCUCAAGUAGCUGGGACUACAGGCGCCUGCCACCACACUCAGCUAAUUUUUUUUUUUUUUUUUUAAGUAGAGGUGGGGCUUCACCAUGUUGGCCAGGCUGCUUUCGAACUCCUGACGUCAGGUGAUCCACCCACCUCAGCCUCACAAAGUCCUGGAUUACAGGCAUGAGCCACCACACCCGCCCUGUGCUUUCAAUAAGUACUUUCUCACUGCUUACUGACUGAUACCCCUAGCUUUUGUAUCAUGAGGAAAAAGAGGCAUAAGAGAAUGAAUCCCUGGCCCCAGUAUCAGUCAGGAUUUAAUCAGAAAACAGAAGUCAUGCUAGGUUUUUGAUGAGUUGGAGAGAGUUGAAAGAGGAAUUAAGGCUUGCACAACCAUUAGAAGGGCUGGGUAAGGAAAGGUCAGACGGUUGCUCUUAGGGCAUCUGAAAUGCAGAGAUCUCAAGAGAAAUUGGGGCUUCUGUUGUGAUCAAGUUGCCCAUAGCAGGUGCUUCUCAGCAGGACCCUGAGAAGCUGAGGCUCUGAGUAACCGCCUGUAGCUGGCACUAAAGAAAAAUGGCUUCUCCUUUUCUGCCUCAGAUGUUUCACGGGGGUGCCUCUCACUGGACAAAUGUAACCUCGAGGCACAUAGGAAAAGAACUGGGUAGUGAGGUUUCUGGUUUUCCUCCAAGAUGGAGAAGAGUGGAGGGCUGGGGAGCAUGAGUCACAAUGAAGUUGAACUAUCAACAGACCACCCAGAAACAAAACCUCCCAUAUAUUAAUGAAAAAUAAAAAAAGCAAACAGCAAUUGAUAAACAAAUGUAUUUAAGUUAUACCAAGGGCAAGAUUGCUCUGUCAAAAAGCAUUUGAUAAUCAGUUAAUUGGUGAGUGUCUGCUAUGCAGAAUUAGAGGCAGUUAUUUUUUUGUUUGUUUGUUUUUGUUUUAGAUUAUUUCUUGCUCAAAACUCACUCAGGUUCCUGGGCUAUAAUACUUGAGCCAGACAGAGCAGCUUUGAUCUCACUGGCAGUUUGUUUAGAAGCCUGAGAUCUGGAGUGGCUUUCUAAAAUCUUCAGCUCUAAAAACCAAUACAGUUUAGUAAAAAUCUAUACAUUUGCUUGCAAUAGUCUCAAGUACAUAGUAAAAUGACAGAAAUGAUUUCAACCAAGAAAUUAGCCAUUUUCUUCCUCUUGAUUUAAGAAGGGAGAAAUAGCUUUGGAGGGAAGUGGCAAUAUUUCUAAAUUUACACACAAAUUCACACCGACAGUAUGCUCCUAAUGGUUGCCACAUUUAGAGCUAACCUGGUUUUCUGAGAUUGAUCUGGGAUGGAAGGAGAAAGAACAGCUAACUGACCGGAAGCUAAACGCCACAAGGCAAAGCCUCUUUGUUAGAAGCUGAAGAUUAUCAUAUUUCUAGGGGAGGCUGGAUGCUUUGGUUAAGAGAGACCUAGUUAUGAAUCCAGCCUUCUAAAGACCUCCAGGGAGAACUCUGCAAGUCUCCUCAGGGCAGGGGUUCUGGGAGUUUCUAGGUUCUUGCAAUUCCUGCAAGCAAACACAUCAACACACAAAAAAGCACUGGGAAUUCAGAGUCCCAGAGAAGGACAUUUGGGUACAUCCCUCAAGGUUAAAAUUUGCUGGAAACUUUGAUAAGAUAUUUGGAUGUGGAGAAGACUGGGGAAGUGUUAAGUAAAGGAAUAUGAAGUUGGGAGUCAAUUAUUCAUUAUUUUCCCUAUUCCUCUCACCCAUUAGCAUCAAUAAUUGAAAAAGAACCAUCCAUGUGUGUAUGGGGAAGGCAGUAGGCUUAGAGGCUGCUAAUAACAAUUUAGUAAAUGAGGCCAAAAAUGGGGCUCUGCAGGCAACAAGCUUGACUGGGUAGAGCCAGGCCACCUCAAAGCUGAGGCUUUAACCACCAUGGCCUGCCAUCUGCAGCACAUGACUCACUGCAUCUUUAAGCAAGACUUUGCCCAAAUAAGUACCUUCCACUUUGGUUCUAUAUUGCUGCCACCAGUGUAACUACUCUGCUGCCUUUCCUAGGGGUGGGGACAAGCUACCUCCUUGAGUUUGAGGCUUGAGCCUACCUUUGUACCUGUGGUCCUUAAGAGGUGCUGUCCUUCUCAUUUAGCUCAUACAAAGUGACUCGGGCAUCCUGCAGCAUCCCUGUACAGGUAUCAGCCCAGUCCACACUGCUAAUUGCACCCAUUUUCUUCAAAGUCCAUCUGUUUACUUAAGCAUGUUGGUGCUCAUGCUCAAUGUGCAAGGUAAUAUAGAUUGAUAUGGAUUCUUUGGGAUUUUUAGUUAAGUGGUUUCUGCUUGUGACAUUCUUUCCUUUUUUCUUUCUUUCUUUCUUUUUUUUGAGACGGAGUCUCUGUCGCCAGGCUGGAGUGCAGUGGCAUGAUCUCAGCUAGGCUCACUGCAACCUCCGUCUCCCGGGUUCAAGCAAUUCUCCUGCCUCAGCCUCCCAUGUAGCUGGGAUUACAGGCGCAUGCCACCAUGCCCAGCUAGUUUUUUUGUAUUUUUUUUUUAGUAGAGACGGGGUUUCACCAUAUUGGUCAGGCUGGUCUUGAACUCCUGACCUUGUGAUCUGCCCGCCUCGGCCUCCCAAAGUGCUGGGAUUACAGGCAUGAGCCACCACGCCUGACCUGCUUGUGACAUUAUUUUCUGCCUUUUAAAUACAAAUAGAAGUAUACAAAAGCAUAUACCUCAGUGCUUCAGGGAGAAAAGUGUGUUAGAUAAAUAGACUACCUGUAAGGAAGACUUAGUAUAAUGACAAGCAUGACUGCUUGGUAUAUUCAGAAUUUUGAUGUGUGACAAAUAAUGUGUGUCAUUCUUUGAAAUAUAAAUGUUAGAGCUUCUUAUGUUAAAAGAAGCCAUCCUAACCAAAUAAUACUCUAGGCUUUCAGUGUACCUAUAAACAUGUUCAUCUGGUGGGAAUUAAGAGAUAUGCCAAAAAACAGAUUUGAAUUUGAGCAAAAGAAUAGCAAUACAUUAACUGCUAUAUUAUAGAGUUUGUAAAGAUUGCUAUAGUGAUUAUCAGUGCUUCACGGUGUCAUUAUUGGCUUCACUAUUAAAGAUAUUGCUGUGAAAAUGAAAAUU
rnacentral:lncRNA from 1 species